GAAGGUAUAGCUCAGUGAUAGAGCACCUGCUUAGCAUGCACUAGGUCCUGGGUUCAAUCCCCAGUACCUCCA
rfam:Camelus ferus unplaced genomic scaffold scaffold1510, whole genome shotgun sequence.